CACAGGAAGAAGGCGGAGGCCUGUGAAAUGUGUGGGGAUCACCAGCACCUUCACUCACUCCGGCUGAGGAGCUGGCACUGUCCCUUAAUCAAGGGGGCAGUUCAUCAGAUUGCUGAUGGACACGUUGUAUUAAUUGACCCUUCUGCAACAGCACGUCCUGCCACAGCUGAAAGUGAUAAUUGUCUUCCAAGUAUUGUAUUGUUUCUGUUUGCUAGACUAAACAUCUUCAGUAUUUUGCCCUGUAGGAUGAAGAUGAAGGGACCACCUCUGCUGUGACAGAGGUACAAAAUGAAGAUGAUGGGAGGCCCACAGAGUUUAUGGCUGGGGAUUCCUGUACAGAGGAGGGUCCAUCUACAUCCACACAGAAUCUUGGCAGUGUAAAAAAAAUAGUUUGCACUUGUCCUGAUUAAAAAUGUUAUAAUAUCAAUUAUAUUGAAUUAUCAUUCUGUCUUCCUGCAAAUGAGCUGUAUAAGGUCCAUCUUCAAAGGCAAAUUAGAAAAAGUGACAUGGAGAUGGACCUUCUACAACUUCAUAUGGAGGGGAAAAAAGGUGAAUAUAAAAAUGGCCAGGCUUGAAAUUUAAUUGCUGAAGCACUGGUUUAAGAAGGGCAACGUAUUUGCCUACUGAGUAUUAUUAUUCUGUCAAUUAUUGUUGAAUGGUAAAGCAAUAAAUUCAAAUGUCCUUUUCGAUUACAG